AUCCUCAUCGUAACACCACCGCUGAUUAAAAAGGGCGAAAAAGGCUAAAAGAAAGAGGGCAAGAAACGCAAGAGGGAUCCAAGAAACGGGAGGAGGCGUCGACCAAGAUUCGCCGCCCAUGGCAACGCGCGCGCCGGCGACCGGAUCCACGACCGUGACGGUGGACCCCUCCCCGUCCUCCUCCUCCUCCGCGCCGGCCUCGUCGGCUCCCCCGCCGGCGGCGGAGUCGGUGGUGCUGCGGCUGAAGCGGCGGCCGAAGAAGAAGGUGACCUGGAAGGAGGGGACGGUGGACAACGAGUCCCUCGGCCGCAAGAGCUCCAAGAAGUGCUGCAUCUUCCACAAGGAGGUCCCCUUCGACGAGGAUUGCAGCGACGACGAGCCCGACGGCGGCGGCGGCCGCCGGAGCCCUCCCGGGGACGCCGGCGAGGGGACAAGCGGCGGCGGCGGAUGCUGCUCCUCGUCCUCCCAUGGUCACGGCCACGGCCACGACCAUUGAUCUUUUUGAUUGAAUUGGUACGAAUUGGUAUAAGGACUGAUUUGAUGUUCAGUAUUCUAGAAAUUUUGAAGCCUCAAUGAUCAAACUCUUCUAACCUGCAUGUGCAACUACUCCAUAUAUAUUCAACUUAUCGUGGAACUACGCAUCAAUGUGUGAAGUUAUAACUUGAAGGGGAAAAUUGCUUCUCUGUGCCGAAACAGUAGGUGAAAUGAUACUGCUUUGUUUUGUGUUGCGAUUGUGGAUGCUGUACUAGCUUUAUUUUUGUGUGGCAUUUGCAAGAGAGAAACGUUGUACCGUAUAGCUGACUUUAUUGUUGGUCAUGUGCAAUUCUCUUGAGAUGUAUGAAGUAUUGCUCCUGUUGUUAUUGUUACCAUUCCAUCGCAUCAAAUAUCCUCUUGUUCUUUAUUUUAAUAUGGUGAGUUGGUAGUUGUAUUGUAUUCACAUUAAUAGCAGUGUAUUAUGUGAUGAUGAUGAAA